GAAAAAUUAGUUAAUUAAUUUUAUAACAUUAAAUUGUCAAUUUAAUAUAAAUAUUUAUAUAUAUUAUUUUUCU
rnacentral:tRNA from 1 species